CAGGUCAAUCUAGAGAGAGGUGUAGAGCAGGGGUCACCAACAGGUCAAUCUAGAGAGAGGUGUAGAGCAGGGGUCACCAACAGGUCAAUCUAGAGAGAGGUGUAGAGCAGGGGUCACCAACAGGUCAAUCUAGAGAGGGCUGUAGAGCAGGGGUCACUAACAGGUCAAUCUAGAGAGGGCUGUAGAGCAGGGGUCACCAACAGGUCAAUCUAGAGAGAGGUGUAGAGCAGGGGUCACCAACAGGUCAAUCUAGAGAGAGGUGUAGAGCAGGGGUCACCAACAGGUCAAUCUAGAGAGAGGUGUAGAGCAGGGGUCACCAACAGGUCAAUCUAGAGAGAGGUGUAGAGCAGGGGUCACCAACAGGUCAAUCUAGAGAGAGGUGUAGAGCAGGGGUCACCAACAGGUCAAUCUAGAGAGGGCUGUAGAGCAGGGGUCACCAACAGGUCAGGGGUCACUCAUUAGAUGGUUCUCGGGGCGGCAGGUAGUCUAGUGGUUAGAGCAGUAUAGCUAGCAG